CCUACGGGUGGCAGCAGUGGGGGAUAUUGCACAAUGGGGGAAACCCUGAUGCAGCAACGCCGCGUGUGGGAAGAAGGUUUUCGGAUUGUAAACUUCUGUUCUUGGUGAAGAUAAUGACGGUAACCAAGGAGAAAGCUCCGGCUAAUUACGUGCCAGCAGCCGCGGUAAUACGUAGGGAGCAAGCGUUGUCCGGAUUUACUGUGUGUAACGGUUGCGUAGGCGGUCUUGCAAGUCAGACGUGAAAACCACAGGCUCAAACUGUGGACGGCGUUGGAAACUGUGGGGUUUGAGUGAAGUAGGGGUAGGCGGAAUCCCCGGUGUAGCGGUGAAAGGCGUAGAGAUCGGGAGGAACACCAGUGGCGAAGGCGGCCUACUGGGCUUUAACUGACGCUGAGGCACGAAAGCAUGGGUAGCAAACAGGAUUAGAUACCCCAGUAGUC
rnacentral:rRNA from 1 species